rnacentral:rRNA from 1 species
UCCUUGGGUGGGGGGACAACCGUGGGAAACUACGGCUAAUACCGCAUGAUCCCUGAGGGGCAAAGGCGAAAGUCGCCUGAGGAGGAGCCUGCGUCUGAUUAGGUAGUUGGUGGGGUAAAGGCCUACCAAGCCUGCGAUCAGUAGCUGGUCUGAGAGGAUGAUCAGCCACACUGGGACUGAGACACGGCCCAGACUCCUACGGGAGGCAGCAGUGGGGAAUAUUGGACAAUGGGCGCAAGCCUGAUCCAGCAAUGCCGCGUGGAUGAAGAAGGUCUUCGGAUUGUAAAGUCCUUUUGGCAGGGACGAUGAUGACGGUACCUGCAGAAUAAGCUCCGGCUAACUUCGUG